AUUGAACGCUGGCGGCAGGCCUAACACAUGCAAGUCGAACGGUAACAGGAAGCAGCUUGCUGCUUUGCUGACGAGUGGCGGACGGGUGAGUAAUGUCUGGGAAACUGCCCGAUGGAGGGGGAUAACUACUGGAAACGGUAGCUAAUACCGCAUAACGUCGCAAGACCAAAGAGGGGGACCUUAGGGCCUCUUGCCAUCGGAUGUGCCCAGAUGGGAUUAGCUAGUAGGUGGGGUAACGGCUCACCUAGGCGACGAUCCCUAGCUGGUCUGAGAGGAUGACCAGCCACACUGGAACUGAGACACGGUCCAGACUCCUACGGGAGGCAGCAGUGGGGAAUAUUGCACAAAGGGCGCAAGCCUGAUGCAGCCAUGCCGCGUGUAUGAAGAAGGCCUUCGGGUUGUAAAGUACUUUCAGCGUGGAGGAAGGGAGUAAAGUUAAUACCUUUGCUCAUUGACGUUACCCGCAGAAGAAGCACCGGCUAACUCCGUG
rnacentral:rRNA from 1 species